GGCGUGAUGGUCUAGUGGUAAGGACAAAGUGUUGCAAGUUUGUGAGCCCAGAUUCGAUUCCUGGUUGUGUCA